AAGCCUUUAGUUUAGUCACGCAGGUGAACGCGAGCUCCAUUCCCUUUCCUUUCUAAUGAAAACAGUAUUGUCCGGUUGAAACAUUAUUGAAUAUUUAUGAUAAAAACACCCCAAGGAUUGAUUAGAAACAUUAUUUGACAUGUUUCUACGAACUCAAAUGGAACUUUUGUGACUUUUCAUCUAGACUUUGUGCCUGCACUUUGUGCAUUUGGAUUACUGGACUAAACGCGCGAACAAAAAGGAGGUAUUUGGACAUAAAGAUGAACUUUAUCGAACAAAAACAAACAUUUGUCUAACAUGGAGACCUGGAAGUGCCAUCAGAUGAAGAUCAUCAAAGAUAAUCAGUUUGAAGCACCAUCACUUCUUGUGGGUUGCAGAGCUGAUCCAAAUGAUUGCUGCCAGUAUAACAGUGUCCUUUCUGGUGAUGGGACCUGCUAUGAAGCACACAAGUACAUUGAUAGCCUUGUGAACUCACACUGGAACACCAAGUUGGAAUGGAUGUCUAAGGUCUGGGAGAGGACAUUGCCACAGAGCUUCCACAGACGCAAUUCAAGAAGGCU
rnacentral:lncRNA from 1 species